rnacentral:tRNA from 1 species
GAGGCAUAGCUCAGCUGGUUAGAGCACCUGCCUUACAAGCAGGGGGUCACUGGUUCGAGUCCAGUUGUCUCC